rnacentral:lncRNA from 1 species
CUUGUGGGGUGUGCGUGUGUGUAUCAAUAGUUAUUGUUGGAAGGACAUGAAAUUCACAUUUGUUGAACAAUCCUUAUACUGGAAUGAGCUGCAAGCGAGUGAUAUGACAAUCUAAAUGAUGGACUGUUCCACUUGAAUCUAUCCUCAGUGCCACACUGCUUUAAUCCUAAUAUCUAACAGUGAUAUUCCUGUAAUUUGUGUUGUCUACUCAUCUUUCUUUUUUAUGUGCUUAUUUCUAUUAAUGUAAUAAUGGAAAUUGGAGACUAUUGGUGUAUUACUUAACAUUGUCCCAAAGAAACCCAGAAAUUUGGGCUAUGUGGCUGAAUUGACUUCAUUUUAUUAUAAGAACUAUGAACCAAUCAGUACCUUUUUAGUUAUAAAAUGAAUGUUGUUCUUUGGAAAAAAAAAAAGAAGAAGAAAAAAGGCAGGUCAGUAAGAACUGUGAACCAAUCAGUACCUUUUUAGUUAUAAAAUUAAUGUUUUACUUUGAAAGAAAAAAGAAAAAAGAAAAAUGAAAAAAGGCAUCCUGACCUGUAGGUGGAGUAAAGACUGCCUCCCCCUUAUUUUGAACACUUGGAUCCUACUGCCUCAAUGCACAUAGCAGCAACCAUCUGGAACCAGUCAUCAUUUUUUAUGUUGGCUUUUCUUGAUUUUUCACAUGUAUUUUUUCUCUCAUCUGCAACCAUAGAUGGUAUGAAUACAGCGCCCCACCCGGGCCACCCCCUUCUUCUUCCUUCCCACUAAGUAGCCUUGGUACUUUAGGAAAUGUAUCAAGCCUUUAACUAACAGGGUGUAUGCCACUUUUGCCUGUGCUGUGUGGAAAAUAAUGUUGCAGAGGACCGUGUGUUCAAUAGAGAGAGAGACCUUCUGGUGUAUGACAUCUCGUACAGACCUAAGUUUGUGAGAACAAUGAACGGGCUUUAGCACUUGAGAUUUGGCCCAAGUGGUAAAGGGUUGAGGAGGGAUGUUCUAGGUUCAAGUCCCAAUGGGGACAAAAAUAUACCUAUCAAAAGAUUAAAAAGAAAAAAAAAAAAAAAAAAAAAACAAUGAGUGGGUUCCAUUUAAUAUCACCUAGUGGAGUUGCAGAUUCCUUAUAUUAAUGAAAUCAAAUAAUCUAAAAUCUUGUGGUUGCAAGGACUUCCACAUAUCUGGGAGUGUUUCUGUUGAAGUCAUGGCCUCCUUUUUAAGUUAGAACAAUAUUUGAUUACUGAAGCUUAUUGAUCCAAUCACUAUGGUUACAGGGGAACUAUGGUAAUUUUGUUAGUGUAGGUCCUUGCCAUUUUCGUAUUGCAUCUUCCAUUAACUAAUGUUGAAUGAGUUAUUCCACUCUGCAUUUUAAUGCUUAUAAAUUCAUAGAAAAAAGGAGAUUUCUGAUGAUAAACUAGUCAUCAUUAUAUUAAACAUGUGGGUUUUCCUAUAAAACAUUGGUGGAGAGAGUGAUUGAACAAAAGUUUAUCCAAAGAAUAAGAUUUUUGGAUUUACUCCAUGUUAAAAUCGUGGGUUUCUUAAGAAGGAAAAGAACAAUAGAGAAGACAUGCUGCCUAUGGUUUAUGUUGACUAGAGAAGACAAAGAAAGUAUGUGUUGAAGUGCUGGAAAAAAGGCAUGUUUGCCUAUGAUAUGACUGAAAAGGACCCCAUAUGUGCAGAAUUUAUGUAGCUGACUGGAACAGUUGAGAUCAGGCUUUAUGGGGUUUAUGUUUUAUUUGACAUCUUUUCAGCUCUGUUUUUUAUUCUGGAGGAUUUGGUAAAUUUUGUCUAUCAAUUUGGUCCAAGUCCAUAAAGCAUAAGAGGGGAAAAAAAAUGAAAUGCCUGGAUGUUGCUCAACUGUAAGAGUAAUUUGCAAAAUGUGAGAGAAGUCAUUCUUCUAGAGUCAACUUUGUUCUUCUUAAUGAAAUGUGAAUUAAAAUAAAAAAAAAUAAUUAUAAUUUCUUUCUUUGCAUCUGUUUGAUUGUCAAUUUAAAUGAGGUACAUAUGUUUUUCCUUAAAUCUUUUUCUAGAGUGGCAUUAUUGGUUUUACUUGUUUCUUUGCUUUGUUCUUGAAGGGUGUUUGGUAUAUUCCUGAAUUGCAAAUGACGGAUUGUUCUUUAUUUUUCAAUUUUAUUUGCUUUUAGGGAUUUUGGGUGGCAGCAGAGAUAUGCUCGCUUUUGUGGAAGAAUAGUGGUUCUUUCCAUUCUUUCUUUGCUACUUUAUCCCUUUCUUUGGGCUUGGACUGUAAUUGGUACUCUGUGGUUCACUAGGGCAAGAGACUGUGUAAGAUCUUCCUCGCAUGUUUUUCUUGAGUGGCCAUUGUUAUUAAUAUUAUUUGCAUUU